rnacentral:lncRNA from 1 species
CCUAGGGUGACCCUUCAUUUCCCGGCCGCUCCGCUCAGACUCCUCAAGCUUCCUGCUGCCUCCAAUGCAAUGGUGGAGGAUGAGCUCCACUAAGGAACACAUCCGGCUCACAGAUCUGGCUGGCAUUGCUCUGUCUUGUAACAGCAGCUGCUUUCCCGGCUCUAAGCUCCAAGUGCUAUCACCUUCAGUUGACCAGCUGCGUCUUUGUCCCUCCCCACAUCACUUUCUGCAGCCAGGGCAGCACUCCUGGACAGGAAGCCAUGAACUUGCAAUUCCACCAUUUCUUCCAGUUGCUUUUGGAGAAUUCAGUUUCAAAGUGCGAGUUGAGGAUAACAUUCUGGCUUUCAGAAAUCAUAAAUAAUGAACGGCACAUUUGAGUCAUUAUCGGUGGUUAUCCCUCUUAGAGUCCUCUUUGGUGUGCUCCGACCUAAGGCACCCGUGGAGAAGGAGAAGGAGAUCUCAAGAGGAAAAAUCAAUGCAGGAACAAAGAAACUCUUGGGUCUAGUGAAGAGAGACUGGAUCUUGCUAGGCGAGUCAGGGAUGGGGAGCUGGAACUGGGAAAUGUUAAUUUGCAAGGGUCCCCUGUGUAGCAAGAGGAAACUGCACAUCCCUCUAGCCUGAACUCUGUCUUCAGAUCCCAGCUUCCUACACUCUCACCUGGAGAACUCCCCAAGUUCUUUCUUCUCCUUCAACAUUCCCAACAUCUGGGCUUCCUCUGGGUCCUGGUUUCAGAUGAUUUUCACAUGUCCAUUUCUUGCUUCUACCCUGGGUGAGUUAAAUUUGGAUGACAAUACCCAGAUCUUACAGUUUGAAGGAGAAUUAAAUGGAAUAAUAUGUGCAGAAGUGUUUCGUCAACAGCAAAGUGCAUUUAAAGGCAGAAUGUGCAUGUGAGACAGCCAAGUGUAAAGGGGUCCCCAGAGAAACUCCAACCGACCUGCACACUGGAAGGAGUGUGCACUGGGGUGGAGCCUCGGGAAGUUCCUGCCCUUUGCCGUAGGGAAGGAGCCUGGCCUCUCCUGUUCAGAGAUGGAAGCAGGAACUCAAUCUGUGAGGUGGGAAGCCUGUACUUGCAGGACUCUCACUCUGCUGAGUCCCUGUUUCCAGUUUUUCCCAUUUUUGCCCAAUAAAUUCUUU